rnacentral:rRNA from 1 species
UACGUAGGGGGCAAGCGUUGUCCGGAUUUAUUGGGCGUAAAGAGCGUGUAGGCGGCCAGACAGGUCCGUUGUGAAAACUCGAGGCUCAACCUCGAGACGCCGAUGGAAACCGUCUGGCUAGAGUCCGGAAGAGGAGAGUGGAAUUCCUGGUGUAGCGGUGAAAUGCGCAGAUAUCAGGAGGAACACCGGUGGCGAAGGCGGGUCUCUGGGCCGAAACUGACGCUGAGGAGCGAAAGCGUGGGGAGCGAACAGG